ACGGCCACUGCCGCCCGCUAUGUCUCGGUCGUGGGUUCGUUAUCCAGUUGUGCGUCAUUCUAAGCCGUUCUGUACAUUUAUACUGGAUAUUAACUGGAGUCAUUUAGCUCUGCUGAUGCUGUUUGCCGUGUGUUUUGCAUCAGUGCUUCGUGACAUCGGCUGUAUUGCGUGUUUUCGCCGACGGCUUACUACCACAAUGGCGGGAUCUGCGUUCGCCGCCUUCGUGUCUCGGUGCGUCUUUGUACGUCGCACGUUCGGAUAACACUUUUUCCGACGGCUGGACAUCCUUCUUGUACCUUGGCGCUAGCUGGAUGACGGGACCUCAUCAUGAUCAGUGUAUUGCUUGCAUAUGUCUAUAAGAACCGUCACGUGUGGCCUGUGACAGCAAGCUUUUGUGGGCAGCCAGUGCUCUCCUACGAAGGCUGGCCUACUCUGGCAGCGGCGGCAAUCAUCUUCGAGAUUUAUCCAUGAUCACCUUUACUGCUAUUUGUCACUCUUGUUAAUUACACUUUCUGCAUCUUUUCUAAUUUAUUAGGUAAUAAAGUACGAGUAUGUGACAUGGUGUGAAGUUGAUGUCUUGCUGC